AAAUUGAAGAGUUUGAUCAUGGCUCAGAUUGAACGCUGGCGGCAGGCCUAACACAUGCAAGUCGAGCGGAAACGAGUUAUCUGAACCUUCGGGGAACGGUAACGGCGUCGAGCGGCGGACGGGUGAGUAAUGCCUAGGAAAUUGCCCUGAUGUGGGGGAUAACCAUUGGAAACGAUGGCUAAUACCGCAUGACGCCUACGGGCCAAAGAGGGGGACCUUCGGGCCUCUCGCGUCAGGAUAUGCCUAGGUGGGAUUAGCUAGUUGGUGAGGUAAGGGCUCACCAAGGC
rnacentral:rRNA from 1 species